GUAGCCGGUGCGCGGGGUGGCUGGGGCUACGUGCAGAGCUGUCGCGGAGCCGGAACAGCAGCGGUGAAGCCCCUCGGCUCGGCCGAGACCGCCGUGCCCAUUGCUCGCCUCGGUUGCCGCCGCUUUAGCCGCAGCCGCUGCUGCCGCCGCCGGGGGAGAGGCAGCCUAUUGUCUUUCUCCGCGGCGAAGGUGAGGAGCUGUCUCGGCUCGGCCCGCGGGGGAGCCCCGGGAGCCGCACGAAUGGGACAACAGAAGAAGUGACUUCAAAAGAAGACGAAGAGGAAGAGAUGGAUGAAGAUAUAGAAGACUUAGAUCACUAUGAGAUGAAAGAAGAGCCUAUUAGUGAGAAGAAGUUGGAGGAUGAAGGAACUGAAAAAGAAAAUUGGGCAAUAUUAGAGAAAAUUAGGAAGACUGAAAGGCAAGGCCAUUUAAAUGUGUUGACCCUGAUAGUCCUUUGCACAGUGAUCUUUAGAUCUUAAAAAGAAGCGAUAGGAGACAUUUUGCUUAUCUUUCAAGUGUUCCUGACAGCAUCUCAGAGGAUGGUGUCCUCUGGCUUACUCUCUGGGAAAUGCUGCUCUGUUGGAAAUCCGGAGUUCUGAGUGAUCCCCAUGCGUUUUCUGCUGCAGAGCAGGACAUGCUGAAGUGAUUCCUUCGUGAGCAGAUGUUAGAGGUCUCCCUUUGACAGCUUGUUACAAAGUUGAUCACGAAUAUACUAUUACGGUGAGUGGAAGUCCCAGGUUGGGUGUGAAGCAGAGUUGUUUAGAAUUGUGUACUAUUUUGUUACCUUUAAAGCUUCUCUAGGCUGUUUUGGUUUUGGCAGUAAAAUUGCUAUAAAAAGUACUUCUCUUGGCAUACAACCUAAUGGUCAGUUUUGGAAGUUCAGUGUUAAGUAACCCAGCCAAAUACUUACGUAUACAAAAUAAACACAAGACUGAAAAAUAGUAAAUGUUUAACCUUUGCUCACUACAGCAGGCUUUUUACUAGCCACCAAGCCAUAGUUCUUUUGUUUUUCAUAGUUGAAUGUUAAAAUGUCUUUUUAAUGAAGCCCUUACUGAUUGGGGAGAAAGGACAUAAGUAUUGUGCUUUAGUUUUAUGUGCUGGUUUAUAAAAUUGUGUAUGUUGACUCAAUAUCCCCAUAAGCAUAGGGAAAGGAAAACGGGUCAUGUUUUGUUCAGAAUCUUAUUUGAGAAAAAAAAAGAUCAAAGAAAAGAUUUGGAUAAAAAUCUGCAAAUUCAGGAUAAAUGUAUGAAAACAUUUUAAAAUGUGAUUAUGAAAUAGACCAGUAUAGCUUUUCAACAUUUUGUUGUAAGAAUCCCAAGAAUGUAAGUUUAUGAUCUUAGUAUACCACCUAGAAUCGAGACAAAUACAUGAAGUUAUGAAUCAUGCCAUUUUCAGUUUUAAAAUCUGUUACAUAGUUUCUUCAUUGAUUCUUUUUUGCCACAGUGUGUUAUGGUCCUCAUUAUUUGGAUGAAUAAUUUGAAUAAUAAGUCAGCUUGUGACUUAGCCAAAUAAAUCUUCUGAUUCCUA
ensembl:lncRNA UBE2Q2P2 UBE2Q2 pseudogene 2